rnacentral:rRNA from 1 species
GUGGGGAAUAUUGGACAAUGGGCGAAAGCCUGAUCCAGCCAUGCCGCGUGUGUGAAGAAGGUCUUCGGAUUGUAAAGCACUUUAAGUUGGGAGGAAGGGCAGUAAGUUAAUACCUUGCUGUUUUGACGUUACCGACAGAAUAAGCACCGGCUAACUUCGUGCCAGCAGCCGCGGUAAUACGAAGGGUGCAAGCGUUAAUCGGAAUUACUGGGCGUAAAGCGCGCGUAGGUGGUUUUGUAAGUUGGAGGUGAAAUCCCCGGGCUCAACCUGGGAACCGCCUCCAAAACUACUGGGCUAGAGUACGGUAGAGGGUAGUGGAAUUUCCUGUGUAGCGGUGAAAUGCGUAGAUAUAGGAAGGAACACCAGUGGCGAAGGCGACUACCUGGACUGAUACUGACACUGAGGUGCGAAAGCGUGGGGAGCAAACAGGAUUAGAUACCCUUGUAGUCC